rnacentral:rRNA from 1 species
CAGCCGCCACGGGAAUACGGAGGGAGCUAGCGUUGUUCGGAAUUACUGGGCGUAAAGCGCACGUAGGCGGUUAUUCAAGUCAGAGGUGAAAGCCCGGGGCUCAACCCCGGAACUGCCUUUGAAACUAGAUGACUGGAAUCUUGGAGAGGUCAGUGGAAUUCCGAGUGUAGAGGUGAAAUUCGUAGAUAUUCGGAAGAACACCAGUGGCGAAGGCGACUGACUGGACAAGUAUUGACGCUGAGGUGCUAAAGCGUGGGGAGCAAACAGGAUUAGAUACCCCAGUAGUCCCUGUCUCUUAUAC